UGGCCAUCCUGCAUCCAGCACGUAUAUCAGUGCCGUUUUUCCAACAGCGUUGGCUCAUUUUGUGUCUCUGGGUCACAUUUUGGUAAUUCUCACAAUAUUUCAAACUUUUCAUUAUUAUUAUGUUUUUCAGAAAUCUAU